UUUCAUUGUUUAGCAGCCACACGCCUCUCAUUGGUGCUAUUAAUACCAGCAUGUCUUCUAGACUCUCUCUUCUGUUGUCUGGUGUGUGAUGUCUUGCAGGAUCUCUGCUGGAUUCUGUGUAGGGCAGCUCAUGAAUGUCCUCAAAACCCAACAUUUAAGAGGCACAGCUACUUGUUGUGCUUCAAGAGGGACUGUAAACCUCCGCUUGUAAUACCUGCUUCCGAAGGAGAGCUUCCCCUUAGUUAAUCAAGGCUGUGAUUUGGCCCACCUCCCACGGCACAGCGUUACAGCAUUUAUCUCUGCACCUGGAUGUGAGAAACUGCAGACAUGGCCCAGUGCCUUUCUUCCAACGGGUGCGAUGGUGCAGUGGGGAAAGACUGGGAGGUGAGUGCAAAUGACAGGGAGGGGUGCUCAGUUCAUUAACUGCCCACAGUAAAUGAGUACAAGACACUUAGGAGGAUGCCCUCUCUACUCAAAAAUCUGCUGUGAAUCACCCUUUCUGCAUAUCAAGGCUGUCACACUGCAAGUUAGUAAAUGCUGUAUCGUUCUCGUUCAGUUUAGCAGCAGUAAGUAUGAAAUAAGAUCAGGGAGGUCGAAUGUGGCUGUGGUUACUUAAUGUUAAAUCUUUGUAAAUCGUUUCAGAUCUUCUCCAGGACUCAUGCUGCUGUUGUGCAAUGACUUCAGCUUCAUAAUGGCUUGAUUGCUAGAUUCAAGGGCAUAGCCCUUCAGUUACCCAAGUAUCUCACCCAGUAAAAUAACAGGAACUGGUGUUUCAGUAUGUAUAUGAAUCUGGAAAAUAAUAUGCAGCAGUGCACGUUAUGUGUCCAGAUAUUCAAAAGGCUCAGUUGGAGGAAAUGACGUUUGGGCAGUCUUUUAGAAUCACAGCCCUGUGAAUUACAUCUUCAUGCUUUUGGACUGUCACUAAUGAGGUGUGUGACAUGCACUCAGGCACUUGCAUGGCUCUGAGCCUUCACACCUCUAACUAUCAGCUGGAAAUAACAGUGAGUGAUUUCUAGGACGCAAUGAUCCAGACUCUCUGACUUUCAGGUUAACAUGCCUCUGCCUUCUUCAGUGGAACAACAGUGAGAACCUGUCCCAGAGGACGAGAGAAGUAGGAGUGUAAAAUGAAGUUUUGCUCUAAUGUUAUUAAAUACCUACAUCCUUGGAAAAGAGGACAAAUGCUCCAUUUAUAUAUGAAACAAGUCUGAAUGCUUAGGUAAAUGUGUAAAUACAGCAUGAAGCAGUGCUUGGUUAAACACUUUUUUCAUGAGACAGUUGUUCUUCUGAACAUACCCUGUGCUUUGAGAGGAAAUGGUGGAAAUGGUGAGUACGCGGUGGCUUAAAAAUAACUUAAUUGUGCACAGUAAUUUUUUCCAUACAUUUUCAUGAGUGUUUUUUAUUAUGCAUUGCACACGUCCUAAAUACAUAAUUACAUGCUGUCUUGGCCGAUUGAGUAAAUAAUACACAUUAAAAAAAAAAAAAGAAAGAAAAAAAAGAAUGAAUAUUUAACAAAUGGAGUGCAGUGGCUUCAGUGUGGGGAACGUAAUAUGGGUUUAAAAAACCUGCCUAAUUAUGCACUUAACCAAGACAUGAGGACAGUUCCUCUAGAGCCAUUCUGGCCUGUCAAGUAAAUAAUAUGCAUUUUACAAAACCAACUAAUUAUGGAUUUGCCCACGGGACUGUAAAAGAUCUGAAGAUGCAGGUAAGUAAUACGCACUUUAUAGCUAACCAUGCAUGGGGAAUUUAAUUUAAUUAAAAAUGCGGGAGGUAGAAAAAAAGAAAGUAAAUAAUGCCUAUAAUCUCUCAAAAGCCAGGAAAUUCAAGUUCAGUUAGCUCCUGUGCUGUUGAAAUAGUCAGUGUACUGUGAGUGGGAUUUCUGAGGGUGGCUGUCCUCGGUGGAAGGGCCCUCGUUGCUCUCUGGGAUGGUGCUUGGCACAGCAGGUCCGGUCUGUCUGCCAGCACUGCACACUCAGGGCUCCUCUUGGAGGACCUGUGCAUCCAGGGUUGUGCGCUGUUCAGCAUCACGUUUGUGCAUUUUUCCCAGGGACUUUUAUAGCAGAUUGGCCAUGGGCUUGACUAGGUACAAGACGAAUGGAAACCUGUGUUCAUGUUCGGUUUUAUUAAUAUACAUUUGCCAAGGCUCUGGAGGAUGUUUCAGAUCUGUUAAGGGGGUAUGAGGAGGACUUGGGAAGUUUCUGAACCCCUAGAAGGGGAACACUUAGCCUUGAGUGGUCCAUCAUAUGUCUCAUUUUGGAAUUUUUUGAACUAAAAAGAAGGUGGCAUCAGGACUUUGAAAGGGUCAUAGAAUCAUAGAAUGGCCUGGGUUGAAAAGGACCACAACGCUCUUCUCGUUCCAACCCCCUGCUAUACGCAGCAUUGCCAACCACCAGACCAGGCUGCCCAGAGCCACAUCCAGCCUGGCCUUGAAUGCCUCCAGGGAUGGGGCAUCCACAACUUCCUUGGGCAACCUGUUCCAGUGCAUCACCACCCUCUGGGUGAAAAACUUCCUCCUAAUAUUCAACCCAAACCUCCCCUGUCUCAGUUAAUGAGAAAGCCAUUCCGAGUUUAAUCCUGCAAAGUACCACGAACUUGCAUUUUAGCAUCACUCUCUGUGUAGACAACUGCAAAAAAUUUGUGCCCGAGGAAGACUGAUGUAUGGACUACCUUAUGAUUUAUCAAACUGAGGAAGUGCAGAUCUGGGGUGAAUGAGUAAGAAGGAGUGCUAACUAGGGUAGUGCAGGAGUUUGUACAUAUAGACAUGCCAAACCAGCCAUCUCUUCACUGGAGGCUUGAACGUGAAUCUGAAAGACUGCAGGCUGCUUGUUUCUUUGGGAAACAGCCUCAUAACAAGAAGGCAGUAAACAGUCAGCAGUGGCACAAGCAUGCCACUUCUCAACCAGUAUACAAGUGUAAAGCAAUUACUUUUUUUUUAUGGUCCUCCUCUUUUUUUCUUAAGUCUGAAAAGCAAUGUUGGGGCAGCUGAGAUGCUCCAGUCUGCUCACUGAUGGCUGUGUCAUACAUAAAUACAUCGCCCAGCAUUUUAUCCCAGUAUUUUUUUUUCACCGAAGUUGUAUUCUGAAUAUAAAUUCCUGCAAGCUAUUGAGAUCACAAGUAUGAAAUCUGAAACUGCUGGUUCUAUGAUGAUAAAGGGACAUGCUCUUUAAAAGAACCCGUUUUUGCUGCAAGCAAUGAACAUGCUAUGCGGAAAGAGACCUAGAUUUGAAGUACAGUUUGAAAUGCUGCAGGGACUGCAUUACAUCCUUCUAACACUCUUCUUCUUUGGUCUGAUAGAAGCUUUUUUUUCUGUUGUUGCUGUUUGUGUGUUUACUUUGAGCAUGUUAGAUUGGAAAACUUCUAUUAACCCCCUUCUUCCGGGCUCCCUUUCUUCCCCUGUCCUUCUCCAUCACUGGGUAUAGCACUUCUGUUUGGAAGCUGAAGAACUGUGUUCUUUAGCCACAAAUCCAUCUUCUCU
ensembl:lncRNA